GCCACUGAGCCACAACCCCAGCCCAAAAUAAAUUUUUAAUUUAAAAAAUAGGGCUGGGGUUGUGGCUCAGUGGU
rnacentral:pre_miRNA from 1 species